GGUUAUAGCUCAGGGGUAGAGUGUUUGCCUAGCAUGUAAGAGGCACUGGGUUCAAUCCUCAGCACCA
rnacentral:tRNA from 1 species